rnacentral:miRNA from 2 species
UAGACCGAUGUCAACAAACAAG